rnacentral:rRNA from 1 species
UAGAUAUAUGGAAGAACACCAGUGGCGAAGGCGGCCGCCUGGCCUGUUGCUGACGCUGAGGCACGAAAGCGUGGGGAGCAAAUAGGAUUAGAUACCCUAGUAGUCCACGCCGUAAACGAUGAGGACCAAGUGUUGGGGGUGAAACCUCAGUGCUGAAGUUAACGCAGUGAGACCUCCGCCUGGGGAGUAUGCACGCAAGUGUGAAACUCAAAGGAAUUGACGGGGGCCCGCACAAGCGGUGGAGUAUGUGGUUUAAUUCGAAGCAACGCGAAGAACCUUACCAGGCCUUGACAUGGGAUGCGAAGACGCAGAGAUGCGUUGGAGGCAAACAUCCACACAGGUGGUGCAUGGUUGUCGUCAGCUCGUGUCGUGAGAUGUUGGGUCAAGUCCCGCAACGAGCGCAACCCUUGUGGCAUGUUGCUAACAGGAAAGCUGAGGACUCAUGCCAGACUGCCGGUGACAAACCGGAGGAAGGCGGGGAUGACGUCAAAUCAUCAUGCCCCUUAUGGCCUGGGCUACACACGUACUACAAUGGCGGCUACAAAGAGCGGCGAGACAGUAAUGUCGAGCGAAUCUCAUAAAAGCCGUCCCAGUUCGGAUUGGAGCCUGCAACCCGGCUCCAUGAAGUUGGAAUCGCUAGUAAUCGCGGAUCAGCAUGCCGCGGUGAAUACGUUCCCGGGCCUUGUACUCACCGCCCGUCAAG